UGGAGGCGCCCCCGCGCGACUCACGGCCUGAGAUUGGCGGGCAGGAGGAAUGACGCAUUACGUGAGGCGAUGAGGCUCCUCCCCUGAGAUCCUGCGUGCUGUUAGCGUGGGGCGGGGCGGAGGGUGGGCCUAGGCGGCCAUUACCCGGAACGGUCUCGGGCUUGGGGUCAGGUGACCCACAGCUGGGCUCGCGGAAGAAGGGUGGCGAGGGGAGGGAAGAGAGUGUGAGAAGAGAAAGGGAGGAGAAAGGAGAAGGGCGGAGUAGGAGGGAGGGGAAGGGGGCGGGACUGGAGUGAGUCACGUGAUUCGCCAUGGAGGCGGUGGCGGCGCCCGGGAGGAGCCGCCGGGGCAGAAGCCGCACUUGUUAGUGUCGGGGGAGGAAGGGGUCGGGGGACGCCGACAGCAACAGCCGGGGACACCGAGGACAGAGUGAGAGGGGGUGGGGGCAGGACCAGGCUCCGACCCCCAGCCGAGGGAUGAGGGGAGUAUGGGCGCCAAGGAGUCACGGAUCGGAUUCCUCAGCUACGAGGAGGCGCUGAGGAGAGUUACAGAUGUAGAGCUGAAGCGACUUAAAGAUGCCUUCAAGAGGACCUGUGGACUCUCAUAUUACAUGGGCCAGCACUGUUUCAUCAGGGAAGUGCUUGGGGAUGGAGUGCCCCCAAAAGUUGCUGAGGUAAUUUACUGUUCUUUUGGUGGAACAUCCAAAGGGCUGCACUUCAAUAACUUAAUAGUUGGACUUGUGCUCCUUACAAGAGGCAAAGAUGAAGAAAAAACAAAAUGUAAGUACUUUUAUUAUCUCAAAAUGAUUACAUUCAUUCAGUUACUCAUUUAUUUACUUAGAGACAGAAUCUCACUGUUCAGUUUAGACUGGCCUUUUUAAACUUGCCUUGUAG
rnacentral:lncRNA from 1 species